UACGGAGGAUCCAAGCGUUAUCCGGAUUUAUUGGGUUUAAAGGGUGCGUAGGCGGCCUGUUAAGUCAGGGGUGAAAGACGGUAGCUUAACUAUCGCAGUGCCCUUGAUACUGAUGGGCUUGAAUGUACUAGAAGUAGGCGGAAUGUGACAAGUAGCGGUGAAAAUGCAUAGAUAUGUCACAGAACACCGAUUGCGAAGGCAGCUUACUAUGGUAUGAUUGACGCUGAGGCACGAAAGCGUGGGGAUCAAACAGG
rnacentral:rRNA from 1 species